rnacentral:rRNA from 1 species
CAUGUCAUGCCUUAGAAGCGGCGAGUGAGCGGCAAAGCUCAAAUUUGAAAUCUGGCACUUUCAGUGUCCGAGUUGUAAUUUGAAGAAGGUAUCUUUGGGUCUGGCUCUUGUCUAUGUUUCUUGGAACAGAACGUCACAGAGGGUGAGAAUCCCGUGCGAUGAGAUGUCCCAGACCUAUGUAAAGUUCCUUCGAAGAGUCGAGUUGUUUGGGAAUGCAGCUCUAAGUGGGUGGUAAAUUCCAUCUAAAGCUAAAUAUUGGCGAGAGACCGAUAGCGAACAAGUACAGUGAUGGAAAGAUGAAAAGAACUUUGAAAAGAGAGUGAAAAAGUACGUGAAAUUGUUGAAAGGGAAGGGCUUGAGAUCAGACUUGGUAUUUUGUAUGUUACUCUCUCGGGGGUGGCCUCUACAGUUUACCGGGCCAGCAUCAGUUUGAGCGGUAGGAUAAGUGCAAAGAAAUGUGGCACUGCUUCGGUAGUGUGUUAUAGUCUUUGUCGAUACUGCCAGCUUAGACUGAGGACUGCGGCUUCGGCCUAGGAUGUUGGCAUAAUGAUCUUAAGUCGCCCGUCU